rnacentral:rRNA from 1 species
CCUACGGGAGGCAGCAGUGGGGAAUUUUGGACAAUGGGCGCAAGCCUGAUCCAGCAAUGCCGCGUGAGUGAAGAAGGCCUUCGGGUUGUAAAGCUCUUUUGUCAGGGAAGAAACGGUGGGAGCUAAUAUCUCCUACUAAUGACGGUACCUGAAGAAUAAGCACCGGCUAACUACGUGCCAGCAGCCGCGGUAAUACGUAGGGUGCAAGCGUUAAUCGGAAUUACUGGGCGUAAAGCGUGCGCAGGCGGUUUUGUAAGUCUGUCGUGAAAGCCCCGGGCUCAACCUGGGAAUUGCGAUGGAGACUGCAAGGCUUGAAUCUGGCAGAGGGGGGUAGAAUUCCACGUGUAGCAGUGAAAUGCGUAGAGAUGUGGAGGAACACCGAUGGCGAAGGCAGCCCCCUGGGUCAAGAUUGACGCUCAUGCACGAAAGCGUGGGGAGCAAACAGGAUUAGAUACCCUGGUAGUCCACGCCCUAAACGAUGUCUACUAGUUGUCGGGUUUUAAUUAACUUGGUAACGCAGCUAACGCGUGAAGUAGACCGCCUGGGGAUACGGUCGCAAGNUUAAAACNCAAAUGAGUAGACGNGNGAGAGNGCGAGACGACGACGAGGGAGGAGG